rnacentral:misc_RNA from 1 species
UGUUGCUGUAAAUUGCAGCAGUUCAAUUCAAUCAGAAAGAAUGAGGUUACUCCUUCAGGAAAGUCCCAGCUAUAGUUCACAGCCUGCUUCAUUUCUUAACCUGGGGGCACAGGAUCAAGAUAGACCUUAUUGGAAACAAGCUGCUAAACCCAUCGAACGAAGAUGACAAACCACUAUCAUCAUAGAACCGCGACUCCACCUCAGCGUCACUAGAACCAUUAUCAUUCUCCGAUGAAGUGUCAACAAAUGAGCUUGAGUAUUCAGUUUCAUCGGGAUCUG